rnacentral:rRNA from 1 species
UGGGGGCUCUUCGGAUUAUUGGGCGUAAGAGCUCGUAGGCGGUUUGUCGCGUCUGCCGUGAAAGUCCGGGGCUCAACUCCGGAUCUGCGGUGGGUACGGGCAGACUAGAGUGAUGUAGGGGAGACUGGAAUUCCUGGUGUAGCGGUGAAAUGCGCAGAUAUCAGGAGGAACACCGAUGGCGAAGGCAGGUCUCUGGGCAUUAACUGACGCUGAGGAGCGAAAGCAUGGGGAGCGAACAGGAUUAGAUACCCUGGUAGUCCAUGCCGUAAACGUUGGGCACUAGGUGUGGGGGACAUUCCACGUUUUCCGCGCCGUAGCUAACGCAUUAAGUGCCCCGCCUGGGGAGUACGGCCGCAAGGCUAAAACUCAAAGGAAUUGACGGGGGCCCGCACAAGCGGCGGAGCAUGCGGAUUAAUUCGAUGCAACGCGAAGAACCUUACCAAGGCUUGACAUGAACCGGAAAGACCUGGAAACAGGUCCCCCACUUGUGGUCGGUUUACAGGUGGUGCAUGGUUGUCGUCAGCUCGUGUCGUGAGAUGUUGGGUUAAGUCCCGCAACGAGCGCAACCCUCGUUCUAUGUUGCCAGCACGUGAUGGUGGGGACUCAUAGGAGACUGCCGGGGUCAACUCGGAGGAAGGUGGGGACGACGUCAAAUCAUCAUGCCCCUUAUGUCUUGGGCUUCACGCAUGCUACAAUGGCCGGUACAAAGGGUUGCGAUACUGUGAGGUGGAGCUAAUCCCAAAAAGCCGGUCUCAGUUCGGAUUGGGGUCUGCAACUCGACCCCAUGAAGUCGGAGUCGCUAGUAAUCGCAGAUCAGCAACGCUGCGGUGAAUACGUUCCCGGGCCUUGUACACACCGCCCGUCAAGUCACGAAAGUUGGUAACACCCGAAGCCGGUGGCCUAACCCCUUGUGGGAGGGAGCUGUCGAAGGUGGGACUGGCGAUUGGGACUAAGUCGUAACAAGGUAACC